rnacentral:tRNA from 5 species
GGUUCCGUAGUGUAGUGGUUAGCACGUGAGGUUUUGAUCCUCAAAUCGCGAGUUCGAAUCUCGCCGGAACCU